rnacentral:lncRNA from 1 species
GUGCAUGUACUAUAUUCAUGUGUGAGUGUGAGAUUGUGUGUGUCUGUGGGUCUGGGCACACGAGUGUGUGUGUGUAUGCAUGUACUAUAUUCGCAUGUGUGAGUGUGCAAAUGUGUGUGUCUGUGGGUCUGGGCACACGAGUAUGUAUGUGUGUGCAUAUACUAUAUUCACGUGUGUGUGCAAAUGUGAGUGUGUCUGUAGGUCUGGGCACGUGUAUGCGUGUGUGUGCGAGUACUAUAUUCACGUGUGUGUGAGUGCGAAUGUGAGUGUAUGUGGGUCUGGGCACAUGUAUGUAUGCAUGUGUUUGUGCAUGUAUUAUAUUCAUGCGAGUGUGCAAAUGUGUGACUGUGAGUGUGGGUCUGGGCACACGAGUGUGUAUGCAUGUGUUUCUAUUGUAUUCAUGUAAGUGCAAAUGUGUGAGAGUGUGUGUUCUCUGCACACACAAGUGUAUAGGUGUUUGUGUGUGCAUGCAUUGUAUUCAUGUGAGUGCAUGUGAAUGCGUAUACGUGAGAGUUUGAGUGUGCCUGGGUGUCUGGAUAUGCAAGUGCAUGUGUGUGCCUGUGUUCGUGUGUAUCAGUCUGGGCGUGCCCGUGUGCGAAUAUGAGUGUCUACGCAUGGGUGUCCCAAUAUGUGUGUGCCUGUGUAUCAAUGUCUGGGUGUGCCUGUGGGUGUGAGUGUGUGUCUGUGCAUGGGUGUCUGCAUAUGUGAGUGCUUGUGACUACCUGUGUGUGUAUCCAUGUCUGGGUGUGCCCGUGGGUGUGAGUGUGUGUCUGUGCGUGGGUGUCUGGAUACGUGUGUGCCUGUAUGAGUAUGUAUCCAUGUCUGGGUGUGCCCACGGGUGUGAGUGUGAAUAUGUAAGUCUUGCGUGUGCAUGAGUGUGUUCACAUGAGUGUGAGGGUCUGUGCAUAGGAGCCUAUUGUGUGUGUGCAUGCGGAUUGCAUUUAUGUGAGUCCGUGUCUGUGUGUGUACAUGCACGUGUCCCCACACAAGCCAGCCCGAGAGGGAGUGUCCCCUGAACACACCCUGGCAGCACUUGCAGCGUGACGAGGUUGAGGGAAUGUGUCGCUGAGGUCGUAAAUGCCUCUCGCAUGUCCCAACACGCUGGAGCGAAAGCAGCCCGUGAUGCCGGCCGUGCAGCCGUGAAGUCCGUGGAGUGUCCCUAAUCACCGGGGGUUCUGCUUUGCGGCGACAGCGGUGCUACUCACAGCUCCACAACUCUGCAGCUUCCCGCCUGAAACGGGAACGGGAAGGUGGCCCGGGCGUCCACACCUCGAGCCACAGCCGGCGGGAGGCACAGGCUGGCAAAACUGCCUCUCAGUAGUGAGAAGAGACAAACAAACCGAACGCCAGGAGCAGAGGAAACCAAGACGAUGUGGCCAAGAAAAAUUGCAUUUUUAUUUCCAGUUUUGCUAAAAUAGCCUUCUCAUUGGCUGCGACUUUGGAGGUGGCAGAAAUCGUAUGUUUAAUCACGGCGCCCUCCUACUUGCCAAGCUUUGCGUCCUCCAGAAUUGUCCUGUGACAGAUUCCCACAGGAUGGAGCCUUUUGUGUCUGGCUUCCUUCACUUCGCAGCAGGCUUUGGGGGACCCGUGUGGUGGCACCAGCAUCCUGCCCUUGGUACUGCUGAGUUGUAGGUUGUGGGACAGGUGGAGGCACCACAGUUGUUCACGUGUUCACCUGUGGAUGGGCAUGUGGGCUGUUGUGAGUGAAGCGACUUUAGACAUUCGCGUGCAGGUUUGGCGGGGAUGUGCAGUUUUUCUCUUGAGAGUAGGAUUGCUGGUGCCUAUGUUAAGGGUACGUUCAACUCAUCAGCUCAACUGUCUUCCAAAUGGCGGCACCAUUUUCCACUCCUGCCAGCAAUGCCUGCGACUCCAGAUGCGCUGCAUUUUCAUCAGCACCUGGCAGUGGUGAUUCAUAAUGCUUUAAAUGUUAAUUUCUCUCAUGACUAGUGAUGUUAAACAUCUUAUUAAACAUCUUAGGUAUUA